AACGCACGAGACCUGCGGACCUGCGGAAGGAUCAUUACUGAGUGAGGGCCCCUCGGGGUCCAACCUCCCACCCGUGUUUAACGAACCUUUGUUGCUUCGGCGGGCCCGCCUCACGGCCGCCGGGGGGCUCCUGCCCCCGGGCCCGCGCCCGCCGAAGCCCCCCCUUGAACGCUGUCUGAAGUUUGCAGUCUGAGAAACUAGCUAAAUUAGUUAAAACUUUCAACAAUGGAUCUCUAGAUC
rnacentral:misc_RNA from 1 species